CAAUGGCACAGUCUCGGCUCACUGCAACCUCCACCUCCCGGGUUCAAGCAAUUCUCCUGCCUCAGCCUCCUGAGUAGCUGGGACCACAGGCGUGUGCCACCAUACCUGGCUAAUUUUUUUUUUUUGUAUUGUUUAGUAGAGAUGGGGUUUCACUUUGUUGGCCAGGCUGGUCUCGAACUUCUGACCUCGUGAUCCUCCUGCCUUGGCCUCCCAAAGUGCUGGGAUUACAGGCGUGAGCCACCGCAUCUGGCCUUUUCUCUUCUGUUUCUACUUCUUUUUACCCACUUCACCUCGCUCCCGCUUUAAAUUGCUGUUGUAUCUGCCCAAAAUGCUGAUUAGGGAAUUAUCUGUUAUUGAUUCACAAUGAGAUAAGCACUUUAUACCAGAAUGUAUAUCAAAGCAUUGCUCCCUUCAUUGAGAAAGUCUCUACAUGAAAAUCCAUGAAAUAUUAGGUGUCCUAGAAAAGUACAAAAUUUUUUUUUGAAAUUUGUGUUAUUUCCAUAAGUUGUCUGAAAGUGUGGAACUUAUGGAAGUUAUUUCCGUAAGUUGUCUGAAAGUCUGGCCCUUCCCCUCUGUCUGGAGCCAUUCAAGUCCCUGGGUUUCUAUCAUGCAAGAGAGCAACAGGGAUGAAAAAAGGACAGUUAUUAGACUUCUUGCAACCCUAAUGCUUGGCACUGAAACUAGAUUUAAUUUGAUUCAGAAAAAUUUAAAAAGGCAACUUUAACAUAUUAAGGGUCACGCAGCACUUCAUAUCUGCUAUUGUCUUUAAACAAAGACUGAAUGUGUUACAUUUUUAUAGUAUGAUAUAAUUUAUAAGAUU
rnacentral:lncRNA from 1 species